rnacentral:lncRNA from 1 species
AUCGUGUCACCUUUUAUUUUUUAGUAGAGCGUGAAUUGUGAACGUUUAGACUCAAAGUCCUAUAAAGAAUAACAGGUGCUUAUGUAAUUGGGCCUUUACUACCGAUUUCUUAAUUUACAGCCACUUUAUAACUGGCCCAUCUCUAAGUAUAACAAAACGUUUUCUUCUCUUUCUCAUCAUCCUCCUCGAGUCAGAUCUCACAUGCUAUGGCCGAAACAGAUCUUGCGUUUAGUUCCCAUGGCGUUGCACCGGUCAAGUAGUAGGACGUACCCU